UGGGGGAUAUUGCACAAUGGGCGAAAGCCUGAUGCAGCGACGCCGCGUGGGGGAUGAAGGCCUUCGGGUUGUAAACUUCUUUUGCUCUGAACAAGGCGCACCAUGGGGUGUGUUGAGUGGAGGGGUUGAUUAGCGCCGGCUAACUACGUGCCAGCAGCCGCGGUAAUACGUAGGGCGCGAGCGUUGUCCGGAAUUAUUGGGCGUAAAGGGCUUGUAGGUGGCUGGUUGCGUCUGUCGUGAAAGCUAAUGGCUUAACUGUGGGUUUGCGGUGGGUACGGGCUGGCUUGAGUUCAGUAGGGGAGGCUGGAAUUCCUGGUGUAGCGGUGGAAUGCGCAGAUAUCAGGAGGAAUACCGGUGGCGAAGGCGGGUCUCUGGGCUGUUACUGACACUGAGGAGCGAAAGCAUGGGGAGCGAACAGG
rnacentral:rRNA from 1 species